UCAAUUGUUUUGUGGUUUAGGCUAUAAAUUAUACAAAUAAUAAGAGGUCUAUUUGAUAUUAGCAUUUGUAUUAUUUAUUGUGCAUAGACAUGGGCCGGUAUGAAAUUUUGACGGUAUGAUAACCUUAAGCAAAAAUAUCACGGUUUCACAGUAUCACGGUAUUGUUGUUACAGCUGAAAUGUGUUAUUUUUAAAUGACCGGGUAAAAAAAAAAAAAAAAACUGCUGGACACAAUAUAUUUUGUUUUUGAGCAACAUACAGUAUAUUAGAAACAGUAGAAAUAGUAUAUUUUUUCUUUGAUUUGUUUCCUAAAAAGAAAAAAAAAUAAAGACUGACAUCUUUAUUUAAACUAAAUCUGUAAUGACAGUUAUUUAAUUUUAGUUAUAUAAUUCAGAUACAUAUCAUUUAUAUAAUUUCAUAUCAUUUUGUUAUAUAAUAAUAAUCAUACACAUAAUUUGAUUUAAUAAUAACCCAAUCUGAAGCAAAAACAGAAUGUUCUGAAAGCUUUGUGAAAUUAUACUACAUGCCUGAAGGAAUCAAACAGCAGAAGCUCUGAAUGAGACGCAUUCACUCUCUGACAGCAGAAGGCGCCUCUGGAACACCAGAUACAGACCAGAUACAGCGUUUCCUUGGUUACCACUGUAAACAAACCUGCCUGUGCUGAAACACUGCUUUAAUAUGAACUAUACAGAGACGAGAUGAAAAGAAAAUACCAGGUGAACUUUUCAGAAGACAGUCAGCUCUCCUCAGAAACACAUUCAUAUAAACCCCCAAAUCAAUAUUGGGGAUUUUCUUUCAAUAGUUCGUGCAUCAUGAACAAACCACAGAAAAAUGGAAAGACACACAGAUUUGGAACAAGACAACUUUUUAUGUUCGGGUAAACUGUCAAAAAGUUUCCUAUGUCCAUGAUCCCAACGAUCAUCAAUGAUCACAUGAUGAAAAAGUAUCCAAUUUUGGCUGAGAAAUAUAGAAUAGAAGAAUAUACCACCAAAAUGUACCACCACAAAAAGUGAAUGACUUGACAGACAUCACUGUUAGUCUUAGGAAAUGUCCCAGUUCAAGGCAACAGAAAAUCAUUAUUUCAGACCAUAUUUCUCUUCACUUUAGUCUUACAAAAAGUCUGGAACAUGCCCUCAUCUCUUCAGCUAUUUCACUAUGGACCAUUAGCACGAUGAAUGGAAAGCCAGGAUAAACAAAACCUAUCUUCAAAACCAAUCCCCGUUCAAUCAAGCCUGUUGAAAUGCUCUCAUGUUUGGCCAGGACACACUGAGUGGAAGAAGCAGAGCUCCAGGGAUUUUGCAGUAGCUGUUUGUGCUGGUUGGAUUCAUUCUGAAUGAAUAUUAACACUGAACCACACAUUUUUAAGGCUUUAGAAGAUAUGCAGUAAUUGUUUCCUAUGAUGUGUGCAAGAGAAAACCAAGAAAGGUGUGAAAAAUGGCAUGGUUUUGAUGCUUAUGUGCAUUAGAUUACACCAACUCUUCAGUCUAGAGUCCUAACCUCAAUUUCAUCCCUCCUGAUAUUCUCUUCCUGUCUAAGAAUAGUUAUAUUUGCAGGACCUCCCAGUCUUUCUAUUGGUGCUUUAGCUCCUUAGAAAUUAUGAAAUAUUAGCAUGGCUGUUCAUUUAAACAAAAAACUCCAGGUUUAUAAAAUGAUAAAGUAUUUAUAUGUCAGGCAAUGGAGAGGUUUUCACAUAAUGGCUAUUAAACAUAAUCAUUUAUUUGAUAGAAUCCAGUGUAGCUAGAAAAAUACUUGAAUUCAUGUUCUCAGUAGCUGGAAAUUCAAAGCACCCUGGUCGGA
ensembl:lncRNA